CUGCAAAAUAGACGGGAAGCACUCACUCCACAGGCGAAGGUAAGUCCCAAAGAAGUUCAUUCUUUUCCUCCAUGUGUCCAGCAGGCUCCAGGGCCCCCGAGCACCUACGAUGUGCUGGGUCCUGUGCUCUUUCUGUCCUGGAAGGCAGCAGUGGGCAGCUGGAGAGGGAGUGAGCCCUCCUGGUGCACAACUUUAGACCUAACAACAGCCUUCCGGUGCAGGCAAUAUCAACCCAUUUCACAGAGGUGGAAACUGAGGUCUGGAGGGGCAACUAGGACCUGAACCUCUCUCACACACUUGGCUGUGUCCCCUGCCUUGGAAUCUCCAGCUGGCCCAGAGCUCACCUCAGAAAUGUUGGGUGUACCAGACAGAAACUGCAAACCCGAAGGGUUGUGCUGUCCCCAAAUUAACCUUCCCCAGCCCUGGCUUCCUUAUCCUAUGCCAGCCAGCUGGAGGCAAUUGAUGUGGCCAUCAAGUCCCUGAGCACUCCCCUCACCACCAAGGCGAGAGGCAGGUGACAGGUGCAGAAAGGGACAGAAGGGGGUCUCGGGGUCCAGAGCCCCAGGUGCUCAUGGCUGGCCGUGUGACUUUGGACAUGGCGCUUCCUCUCUCUGAACCUCAGUCUCCUUGUCUACAGAAUGGGCACAAUCAUAGAAUCCACCCCUUUGGCUGAUAUGCAGAACAGAGAGAGCAUGGGUACAGCAUGAGGCACGGGGCAGGUGCCCAGAAAAUGACAACCGUCCUUACUACGUGGAAGGGGUGGCUGAAACUCUUUCCCCCAACCCCAGUCCCUCAAGCCCAGUUUGGCUUCUUACCGUCAGUGGUGAGCUCCUCGUGAGACAGUAGAGUGGUUCAAAGCACGAGCCUUGGACUUGAGCGCCUGGGGUCAAAUCCUGCCUUUGCAGCUUCCCUCCUGUGUGAUCCCAGGCAAGUGAUUUCACCUCGAUGGCCCUCAGUUUCCCCAUCCAUGAAUAGAGGUGAUAACAGUU